rnacentral:rRNA from 1 species
UGGGGAAUCUUGCACAAUGGGGGAAACCCUGAUGCAGCGACGCCGCGUGAGCGAUGAAGCCCUUCGGGGUGUAAAGCUCUUUCGGCAGGGAAGAUUAUGACGGUACCUGCAGAAGCAGCUGCGGCUAACUACGUGCCAGCAGCCGCGGUAAUACGUAGGCAGCAAGCGUUGUUCGGAGUUACUGGGCGUAAAGGGUGUGUAGGCGGUCCCCUAAGUUUGGUGUGAAAUCUCCCGGCUCAACUGGGAGGGUGCGCCGAAAACUGGGGGGCUAGAGUACUGGAUGGGAGAGUGGAAUUCCUGGUGUAGCGGUGAAAUGCGUAGAUAUCAGGAGGAACACCUGUGGUGUAGACGGCUCUCUGGACAGUAACUGACGCUGAGACACGAAAGCGUGGGUAGCAAACA